GAUCGGUCCAUUCUUUCCUUUCUUGUUGGCCCAUCGACGCUCUCUGCUGCAGUCUCCUUCCCUCGCUUCCGAUUCCGUUCCGCUUCCCAUGGCCGCCGCCGCCGGCUUCCGGCUGGGGCAGCGCGUGCACGCGGCGGGCGACCCGCGGCGGGCCGGGACCGUGCGCUACCUGGGCCCCGUCGACGGCCACGCCGGCGACUGGGUGGGCGUCGACUGGGACGGCGGCGCCGGCGGCCGCCACGACGGCUCCCUCGCCGGCCGCCGCUACUUCGCCGCCGCGGGGGAGCGCUCCGCCUCCUUCGCGCGCCCCGCCGCGCUCAGCGCUGGGAUCGCGCUCCCCGACGCGCUCCGCCUCCGGUACCGCGUCGAUGACUUCACCAAGGAGGAACAAGAUGAAAUGUAUGUGUUCUCAACGAGCCAGAAGCGUGUGUCGGUGGAAUUGGUUGGGAAGAACAAAGUCUGGGAGAAGCUAAAGAACUUUGAUGAGUUGUUAUGUGCAUCUGUUUCCUUCAUGGGAGUAAGCUCGAUCGGAGUGCCAGAGGAACUACAUGAUCUGGUUCCAAAUCUCAGACAACUUGAUUUAACUGGAAAUCUGCUUUCUCAGUGGCAGGAUAUUUUCUCUCUUUGUCAAGCCCUGGCGUCUCUGGAAGUUCUUGAUUUGACAAACAAUACCAUGGAGAAUGACGUUGUAGAAAGUCCAUUGCUGAAGAAUAUCCGUGUUUUAGUUCUCAACAACUGUGGUGUAACAUGGGAACUGGUUGAAAAUAUUGCAGUACCAUUUGCAUGUCUCAAUGAAGUCCAUCUAAUAUGGAACAAGCUGAACAUAAUCACGACUCCAGUUGGAAAAUUUGUGAAAGGUUUCGAUACACUGCGGCUCUUAAAUUUAGAAGACAAUAACAUUGAUUCAUGGGAUGAAAUUGUGAAACUUUCUUAUUUAAGAAGCUUGGAACAGCUCCAUCUGAACAAGAACAUGAUAAAGCAUGUAAUGUAUCCAUCUAAUCUUCCAUCACCAGUGCCUUCUGAUGGCACAGCUGUUCCGCCGUUCGAAAAAUUGCAAGUCCUUCUAUUAGGAUCUAAUGAAAUAGACGACUUUCCUUCUGUGGAUUCACUUAACCUCUUUCCAAGUUUAACGGACGUCAGGAUUUCUGAUAAUCCUAUAGCUGAUCCUUCCAAGGGUGGUGCCCCUCGAUUUGUGCUUGUUGCUCGAUUGGGAAAAGUUAAAAUACUAAAUGGCAGUGAGGUCAGUGCGCGUGAACGGAGGGAAGCAGAAAUACGAUAUGUUCGACUUGUAUUGGGAAAAGCAGAAUCAACCGACCCAGAAGUGAUCAAACGGCUACACCCUAGGUUUGCUGAACUGAAGGCCUUUCAUGGCAUUGAAGAUGAGAAGCCAACUUCAAGGACGUUAGGCCCACAAAAGAUGGCUUCUGGUCUUAUAAGUAUCACCUUGAGAUGUGUGGGGGCAUCUAUGGGUGAGAAGCAACCUUUGACAAAGAAACUGCCUCCUACAACGACUGUAUGUACUUCUUGGUCGGAAAGCUAAAAUCUUUAUGCGACAGCUUCUUUAAACUGAAGGACAUCAAACUAAGACUGUUUCUUGAGGAAGAGGGAUGCCCACUGCCACAACUACUUGAGGAAGAGACGGCUUCACUCAUGGAACUCGGAAUAGGCACUGGAGCAACCAUUAUCGUUGAUGAAGAAAGCUAAUCGUCGGCAGCGAACAGAAGAAAAAAAAUGUAUGUGUGUCCACGGGGAACAGAAGAAAGAAUAUAUAUCUGUGUGCAUGGAUAGCACACUAGUAUUUCUUUGAGAGAAUCAUUGCUAUUCCUUGUUCUGUACAUUUAUCAGAGAGGCAGUGAAUCAAGUUCAGGCAUGUAUGAUGGUGAUUGAUUUUGCCUUUUGUGGUAGUGAAUCAAGUUCAGACGUGUAUGGUGUUUUAUU